ACAUAUACAUUACAACUUACAAGGAAGAACAUUUAUUAACUAUAUCAACUAAGUUAUGUGAUUAAUUAUAACAACUUAAAUUAAAAUUAUACUCCUUAAUAUUGUAGGAAGAUAAAACAAAAUAAAGUACAAAAGUUUAGUAUAAAACUAUCAAUUUUAUUUUGCCCCGAGCCUCAAUUUUGUUUAUACCGUCUCUGCUCUGGUGCACUCGCCUACUUCGUACAUUACACUGCCCGCCGGCUCGCUGGCCUCCUGAUUGGCCAGAUUCUUAACAUCAACUCUUGUAAAAAAGCGGAACAACUAUUUUCCUCCUUUUUUAGGUUGUCCAUGGGGGUGGACGUGCCGAAGCACAUAGUCGGUCUCUUUGUCGACUAUUGCAGGCGAACAUGUCCGGCGAAUUCAACAGUGUGUCACUUCUGCAUAUUUGAAAUGCAGAUGUCAUAAAACUUCAUUGUUGAUACUUGAAAAUUUUAAUUUGUGUUGUAGAUGCCUGCUCACUGUCAGGAUUAGCACGGGUUGAAGGGAGGGAGCGUUCGUUGCCCCAUGGAUGUCUGCCAUGUUCGAGUACGUCCAUGACGUGAUUUGGCACCGCACCACCAUUUCGUGCACGAUUUUCCUCUAGGCUGGUGGCAUAAGUACAUUUGAUGUACACAAGAAAGGUUAUGACGAGAGGAGAACACAGAUCUCAAGUGUUGCUUGAUAAUUUCUACUCAUUUAUUAGAUGUAUUGAAUGAAUGUAACAUUGUGACUCAUUAUCUGCAAUUCAAAUCUCUCUCAAACAGCAGCUUCAAUGAAUAUCAAAGUUGAAGUUCUGCAAUUGAAAUCCAUAUGUAUGCUGA